UACGUAGGGGGCAAGCGUUGUCCGGAAUCAUUGGGCGUAAAGAGCGUGUAGGCGGUCCGGUAAGUCCGCUGUGAAAGUCGGGGGCUCAACCCUCGAAUGCCGGUGGAUACUGUCGGGCUAGAGUGCGGAAGAGGCGAGUGGAAUUCCUGGUGUAGCGGUGGAAUGCGCAGAUAUCGGGAGGAACACCUAUGGCGAAGGCAGCUCGCUGGGACGUUACUGACGCUGAGACGCGAAAGCGUGGGGAGCAAACAGG
rnacentral:rRNA from 1 species